rnacentral:rRNA from 1 species
UACGUAGGGUGCAAGCGUUAAUCGGAAUUACUGGGCGUAAAGCGUGCGCAGGCGGUUUUGUAAGUCCGAUGUGAAAUGCCCGGGCUUAACCUGGGAACUGCAUUUGUGACUGCAUGGCUAGAGUUUGGCAGAGGGGGGUAGAAUUCCACGUGUAGCAGUGAAAUGCGUAGAUAUCGUAAGGAAGACCAGUGGCGAAGGCGAAUCUCUGGGCAGCUGCUGACGCUGAGGCACGAAAGCGUGGGGAGCAAACAGG